AGCAGCCGCGGUAAUUCCAGCUCCAAUAGCGUAUAUUAAAGUUGUUGCAGUUAAAAAGCUCGUAGUUGAAUUUCGGGAUCAAUUUGCUGGUCGUGCCUUCGGUACGCACUGGUAUUAUUGGUUUCUCCUUUCUGAUGAAUCGCGAUGUCAUUAAUUUGGUGUCGUGGGGAAUCAGGACCGUUACUUUGAAAAAUUAGAGUGUUUAAAGCAGGCUCACGCUUGAAUACAUUAGCAUGGAAUAAUGAAAUAGGACGUUUGAUUCUAUUUUGUUGGUUUCUAGGAUCGACGUAAUGAUUAAUAGGGAUAGUUGGGGGCAUUAGUAUUCAAUUGUCAGAGGUGAAAUUCUUGGAUUUAUUGAAGACUAACUACUGCGAAAGCAUUUGCCAAGGAUGAUUUCAUUAAUCAAGAACGAAAGUUAGGGGAUCGAAGACGAUCAGAUACCGUCGUAGUCUUAACCAUAAACUAUGCCGACUAGGGAUCGGAUGAUGUUAAUUUUUAAUGACUCAUUC
rnacentral:rRNA from 1 species